rnacentral:lncRNA from 1 species
GCUUUGGCGAUCCAUUUCUUGCUUUUAUAAAUCUUUAUUAUCAAACAAGUUUACUAUCAUAAUGAACAAAAAUGGCAUUGAUUUCGACGGACAUUAUCAGUGAAUCUCGCCCUUCUGCUAUUGAAAAUAGAAGAAGACUACAACAGGAAGUAAGGAAGGCUUCAAAUUUCUGUCUGAAUGAUUUACAAGAUUAAAUGGGUUAGA